UGGGGAAUCUUGCGCAAUGGGCGAAAGCCUGACGCAGCAACGCCGCGUGGGGGAUGAAUGCCCUCGGGUUGUAAACCCCUUUCAGCAGGAACGAAUCUGACGGUACCUGCAGAAGAAGGCCCGGCCAACUACGUGCCAGCAGCCGCGGUAAUACGUAGGGGCCAAGCGUUGUCCGGAUUUAUUGGGCGUAAAGAGCUCGUAGGCGGUUGGGUAAGUCGGGUGUGAAAACUCCAGGCUCAACUUGGAGAUGCCACCCGAUACUGCUCUGACUUGAGUUCGGUAGGGGAGUGGGGAAUUCCUGGUGUAGCGGUGAAAUGCGCAGAUAUCAGGAGGAACACCGGUGGCGAAGGCGCCACUCUGGGCCGAAACUGACGCUGAGGAGCGAAAGCGUGGGUAGCAAAC
rnacentral:rRNA from 1 species